GUGGGGAAUUUUGGACAAUGGGCGCAAGCCUGAUCCAGCCAUUCCGCGUGCAGGAAGAAGGCCUUCGGGUUGUAAACUGCUUUCGGACGGAAAGAAAUCGCCAUUCCUAAUACGAGUGGUGGAUGACGGUACCGUAAGAAGAAGCACCGGCUAACUACGUGCCAGCAGCCGCGGUAAUACGUAGGGUGCGAGCGUUAAUCGGAAUUACUGGGCGUAAAGCGUGCGCAGGCGGAUAUUUAAGUCAGACGUGAAAUCCCCGAGCUUAACUUGGGAAUUGCGUUUGAAACUGGCUAUCUAGAGUGCGUCAGAGGGGGGUGGAAUUCCACGUGUAGCAGUGAAAUGCGUAGAGAUGUGGAGGAACACCGAUGGCGAAGGCAGCCCCCUGGGAUGACACUGACGCUCAUGCACGAAAGCGUGGGGAGCAAACAGGAUUAGAUACCCUAGUAGUCC
rnacentral:rRNA from 1 species